rnacentral:rRNA from 1 species
AGGGUUCGAUUCUGGCUCAGGAUGAACGCUAGCGACAGGCUUAACACAUGCAAGUCGAGGGGCAGCAUAAAAGUAGCAAUACGUUGGUGGCGACCGGCGCACGGGUGAGUAACGCGUAUGCAACCUACCUAUCAGAGGGGAAUAACCCGGCGAAAGUCGGACUAAUACCGCAUAAAACAGGGGCACCGCAUGGUGAUAUUUGUUAAAGAAAUUCGCUGAUAGAUGGGCAUGCGUUCCAUUAGGUAGUUGGUGAGGUAACGGCUCACCAAGCCGACGAUGGAUAGGGGAACUGAGAGGUUGGUCCCCCACACUGGUACUGAGACACGGACCAGACUCCUACGGGAGGCAGCAGUGAGGAAUAUUGGUCAAUGGGCGGGAGCCUGAACCAGCCAAGUCGCAUGAAGGAAGAAGGAUCUAUGGUUCGUAAACUUCUUUUGCAGGGGAAUAAAGCGCAGGACGUGUCCUGUUUUGUAUGUACCCUGAGAAUAAGGAUCGGCUAACUCCGUGCCAGCCGCCGC